GGUAAUAGGAGGUUCCUAACAAAUCAAAAAUCCUUACACAAAUUCUUAAACUGAAAUACCUCAAAUUUUAUUAAAUAGAUCAACAAUUCCACAAAUAAGAUACUUGACAUUUUCUCCCAAUUCAUCAAAAUAACAAACAUCUCAAAACUCUCCAAAUACAAAUUCAAAAUACCAACAAACUUAAAGGCUCAAGAAUUUCAUCAUUCUUUCAUUCAACUUAGCAAGUAAAUAAAUCUUUAGCUCCAAAGAUAACCACACUUCUGAAUAAGUCACUUAAUCUGCAAAAAGUAAUGACGAGGGGUGAGCUGUCAACUCAGUAAGUAAAACCAUUCCUAAUUCACUAGGCCUAUCGAUACCAAAAAUAUUGCAAGCCUUUUUUUAUUAUUUAAAACAUAUAUCAUAAUUCAUAAAUUUCAUAAAUGACAUAUCACGAUAAAAUAACAUAAAUUCAUAAUAAUUCAGAAUUUCAAAAGCAUAGUCACUUUCGAAUGCAAAUCAUAUAACACAUUCACAGGAAACAAAAGUGAGCUCAUGUCACAUAUUGUCACCUAUACCCUCGGUGACCCGGCCAGAAUCAGAAUAUCGUGUGUACACUCAGAACAGAAACCCAAUACCGAUGCAGAACAUAAACGUAUCUAUAUCGUAUAAUACGAUCAAAAUCAGAAUCGGAAUGACUACGGACAAUGAGCCAAAACAUUUAAAUUCGUUUAUCACUUAUAGCAAAUUACACGUGGCACUUUGCACUAUACGUGGCAAUUCGUGGCAUUUUAGCCCUCGAGAGGUGCCCCUCAUACAGUCUCAAGAGGUGGCCCCCGCAUAAUAACUCAUAGAUAAUCUUAAUCAAAUAUGUGAAUAAAACAUUUAUAUUGGAUUCAUAAAAGAUCAUAACAAAGAUUUAGGCUUGCAGAACAAUUUCCAUUCUAACAUUUUAUAGACAAUUUCAAAGAUAUAAUUAUUUAGCAAGAAUAAAUUACACAUUUAAAAGCAUUUAUAAUAUUUGUUAAAACCAUAAAAAUAAUAUAAUUUUUCAGAUUUGAAAACAUUUACAUAAAUUAAUUUGGUUACAAAGAACUAAGAAAAAUAUGUACUUGUAAUAAUAUUAAAAUAUCAAAAUUAUUAUACAUAUUUAGUACACUAGGAAUAGAGUUACUUACCUCGAUAAGGUAAUAAUUGAAACACACCUCUAAGCUUUUAACAACCUUAAAUAUCUCCAACACCUUAAAAAGAUGCAAGACAUAAUUAAUAACAACUUAUUCCGAGAACUGAUUUUCUAAUUCAUGCUGGUACAAGUCUGAUUCUCUAGAUUUUAACUCUUAAUCUAAUAAUCAAAACGAUACGAUAUCAUGCAGAUCUGUUCUAGACAUCCAUAGGUAUCUCCUAUAAAAUUUUCAGGAGGAUCCGAUACCAAAAACAUUUUCAAAACUAUUUGUUUCUUGAUAGACGCCAAACUGUCUCACAGUGCUUUAACAGAACAAUAUUGGUUCCGAGAUUUUUAUAAAAUUAUGUACAAUCAGAAAAUUAUGAAAUUAAAACUGGAAAUACUAGACAGACAUAUUAACCUCUAUUUAAAAAUUCAUAAGUUUUCGAGUUCAUUUUAUGGUAUAAAUAAUUUUGUGAAUUUGGUCAUUCUGCUGGAACAACAGUUUUCCAGUGCAACAGUGUCAGAUUCAAAAAUCUAUAUAAAAUCGAAAAUGAAGUCAAAUCUUAUGAACUGAAAUUUAUUCAAUAAGCCCUAGAUGUCUAGUUUACAAAACGAUAAGGUUAUCUUCAAAAAUCAUUUUCGAUGGCCAUGAUUUAAUACAAAAUAUAUAUGUUGUCAAGAGAAUUCUAUAACAUGUUUCAUACAACUAGAUUUUUAAGUUAAGCAUGUAUUCAAAAUAAUAAAAACAUAAGCAAUUAAAGACUCACCAAAUCAAGAAGCUUACAAAUUAACUAAGAUCUCUGACUCUACUGAAGAUUUGGAGAAGGUUACUAUGAGAGAUCUAGAAUUUAGAAUUUUGGAGUUGAGAGAGAAGGAAGAUGAAUAAUGA
rnacentral:lncRNA from 1 species